GGAGCAUGUGGUUUAAUUCGAUGCAACGCGAAGAACCUUACCAAGGCUUGACAUAUACCGGAAACGUUCAGAAAUGUUCGCCCCGCAAGGUCGGUAUACAGGUGGUGCAUGGUUGUCGUCAGCUNGUGUCGUGAGAUGUUGGGUUAAGUCCCGCAACGAGCGCAACCCUCGUCGUAUGUUGCCAGCACGUAAUGGUGGGAACUCAUAUGAGACUGCCGGGGUCAACUCGGAGGAAGGUGGGGAUGACGUCAAAUCAUCAUGCCCCUUAUGUCUUGGGCUUCACGCAUGCUACAAUGGCUGGUACAAUGGGCUGCAAUACCGCGAGGUGGAGCGAAUCCCAAAAAGCCAGUCUCAGUUCGGAUUGGGGUCUGCAACUCGACCCCANNAAGUCGGAGUCGC
rnacentral:rRNA from 1 species